rnacentral:rRNA from 1 species
GAUCUACAGUGAAUCAUCGAAUCUUUGAACGCACCUUGCGCUCCUCGGUGUUCCGAGGAGCAUGCCUGUUCGAGUGUCAGUAAAUUCUCAACCUCUCUCGAUUUGUUUCGAGCGGGCGUUUGGAUAGUGGGGGCUGCCGGAGACCUGGAUUUAUUUCGGGACUCGGGCUCUCCUGAAAUGCAUCGGCUUGCGGUUGACUUUCGACUUUGCAUGACAAGGCCUUCGGCGUGAUAAUGAUCGUCGUUAGCUGAAGUGCACGAAUGAACCGUCCUGCGCCUCUAAUACGUCGACGCUUUCCAGCGUCUUCCUUAUUGACGUUUGACCUCGAAUCAGGUAGGACUACCCGCUGAACUUAAGCAUAUCAAUAAGCGGAGGAAAAGAAACUAACAAGGAUUCCCCUAGUAACUGCGAGUGAACCGGGAAGAGCUCAAAAUUUUGAAUCUGGCGGUCUUUUCGGCCGUCCGAGUUGUAAUCUAGAGAAGCGUUCUUCCGCGC